UAACCUGCCCAAGAGAUCGGGAUAACACCUGGAAACAGAUGCUAAUACCGGAUAAUAACAGAUGAUGCCUAUCAACUGUUUAAAAGAUGGUUCUGCUAUCACUCUUGGAUGGACCUGCGGUGCAUUAGCUAGUUGGUAGGGUAACGGCCUACCAAGGCGAUGAUGCAUAGCCGAGUUGAGAGACUGAUCGGCCAUAUUGGGACUGAGACACGGCCCAAACUCCUACGGGAGGCAGCAGCU
rnacentral:rRNA from 1 species